UUUAUGGAGAGUUUGAUCCUGGCUCAGGAUGAACGCUGGCGGCGUGCCUAAUACAUGCAAGUCGAGCGAACGGACGAGAAGCUUGCUUCUCUGAUGUUAGCGGCGGACGGGUGAGUAACACGUGGAUAACCUACCUAUAAGACUGGGAUAACUUCGGGAAACCGGAGCUAAUACCGGAUAAUAUUUUGAACCGCAUGGUUCAAAAGUGAAAGACGGUCUUGCUGUCACUUAUAGAUGGAUCCGCGCUGCAUUAGCUAGUUGGUAAGGUAACGGCUUACCAAGGCAACGAUGCAUAGCCGACCUGAGAGGGUGAUCGGCCACACUGGAACUGAGACACGGUCCAGACUCCUACGGGAGGCAGCAGUAGGGAAUCUUCCGCAAUGGGCGAAAGCCUGACGGAGCAACGCCGCGUGAGUGAUGAAGGUCUUCGGAUCGUAAAACUCUGUUAUUAGGGAAGAACAUAUGUGUAAGUAACUGUGCACAUCUUGACGGUACCUAAUCAGAAAGCCACGGCUAACUACGUGCCAGCAGCCGCGGUAAUACGUAGGUGGCAAGCGUUAUCCGGAAUUAUUGGGCGUAAAGCGCGCGUAGGCGGUUUUUUAAGUCUGAUGUGAAAGCCCACGGCUCAACCGUGGAGGGUCAUUGGAAACUGGAAAACUUGAGUGCAGAAGAGGAAAGUGGAAUUCCAUGUGUAGCGGUGAAAUGCGCAGAGAUAUGGAGGAACACCAGUGGCGAAGGCGACUUUCUGGUCUGUAACUGACGCUGAUGUGCGAAAGCGUGGGGAUCAAACAGGAUUAGAUACCCUGGUAGUCCACGCCGUAAACGAUGAGUGCUAAGUGUUAGGGGGUUUCCGCCCCUUAGUGCUGCAGCUAACGCAUUAAGCACUCCGCCUGGGGAGUACGACCGCAAGGUUGAAACUCAAAGGAAUUGACGGGGACCCGCACAAGCGGUGGAGCAUGUGGUUUAAUUCGAAGCAACGCGAAGAACCUUACCAAAUCUUGACAUCCUUUGACAACUCUAGAGAUAGAGCUUUCCCCUUCGGGGGACAAAGUGACAGGUGGUGCAUGGUUGUCGUCAGCUCGUGUCGUGAGAUGUUGGGUUAAGUCCCGCAACGAGCGCAACCCUUAAGCUUAGUUGCCAUCAUUAAGUUGGGCACUCUAAGUUGACUGCCGGUGACAAACCGGAGGAAGGUGGGGAUGACGUCAAAUCAUCAUGCCCCUUAUGAUUUGGGCUACACACGUGCUACAAUGGACAAUACAAAGGGCAGCGAAACCGCGAGGUCAAGCAAAUCCCAUAAAGUUGUUCUCAGUUCGGAUUGUAGUCUGCAACUCGACUACAUGAAGCUGGAAUCGCUAGUAAUCGUAGAUCAGCAUGCUACGGUGAAUACGUUCCCGGGUCUUGUACACACCGCCCGUCACACCACGAGAGUUUGUAACACCCGAAGCCGGUGGAGUAACCUUUUAGGAGCUAGCCGUCGAAGGUGGGACAAAUGAUUGGGGUGAAGUCGUAACAAGGUAGCCGUAUCGGAAGGUGC
rnacentral:rRNA from 1 species